GUCUUCAGGGAGCUCCGCAACAUGCUGGAUCCAGGGAAGCCGGUAUUCAACCCCAAGAAGGGCAAGCCCAGCAUCGUCAUGUCCUGGUUCAAGAGCCCAUCAUCUACAACGUCCGCGCAUGACCCAACCUCGUCGAGAGCACCUCCGGGAGCCGGGAUCUCCAGAUGGUGUUGUGUGUCCUGGAAGAUGGAAGAGAAAGAAAACUUAUUUUUGUUGAACUAAAUUUUCUGUAUUCUAUUUUGUUGUACUUAUCAUUUGAUAGUUUUGUAUAGGAACAAGUGAUACUAUUUUGAAGGGCUUUAUGGCCUGUGAUGUAAACAUAUUUAGUGCUGAAAUAUGAAAUUAUUUGCAAAA